rnacentral:rRNA from 1 species
GACGUAGGGUGCGAGCGUUGUCCGGAUUUAUUGGGCGUAAAGAGCUCGUAGGCGGCUCGUCGCGUCGACCGUGAAAACCCGCAGCUUAACUGCGGGCUUGCGGUUGAUACGGGGGGGCUAGAGUUCGGUAGGGGAGUCUGGAAUUCCUGGUGUAGCGGUGAAAUGCGUAGAUAUCGGGAGGAACACCUGUGGCGAAAGCGGCGCACUGGACCACAACUGACGCUGAGGCGCGAAAGCUA